AACGAACGCUGGCGGCAGGCUUAACACAUGCAAGUCGAUCGCCCCGCAAGGGGAGCGGCAGACGGGUGAGUAACUCGUGGGAAUCUACCGUGCCCUACGGAAUAGCUCCGGGAAACUGGAAUUAAUACCGUAUACGCCCUACGGGGGAACGAUUUAUCGGGGUAUGAUGAGCCCGCGUUGGAUUAGCUAGUUGGGGGGGUAAAGGCCUACCAAGGCGACGAACCAUAGCUGGUCUGAGAGGAUGAUCAGCCACAUUGGGACUGAGACACGGCCCAAACUCCUACGGGAGGCAGCAGUGGGGAAUAUUGGACAAUGGGCGCAAGCCUGAUCCAGCCAUGCCGCGUGAGUGAUGAAGGUCUUAGGAUUGUAAAGCUCUUUCACCGAUGAAGAUAAUGACGGUAGUCGGAGAAGAAGCCCCGGCUAACUUCGUGCCAGCCGCCGCCGUAAGAC
rnacentral:rRNA from 1 species